rnacentral:rRNA from 1 species
UACGGGGGGGGCAAGCGUUGUUCGGAAUUACUGGGCGUAAAGGGCUCGUAGGCGGCCAACUAAGUCUGACGUGAAAUCCCUCGGCUUAACCGGGGAACUGCAUCUGAUACUGGAUGGCUUGAGAUUGGGAGAGGGAUGCGGAAUUCCAGGUGUAGCGGUGAAAUGCGUAGAUAUCUGGAGGAACACCGGUGGCGAAGGCGGCAUCCUGGACCAAUACUGACGCUGAGGAGCGAAAGCCAGGGGAGCAAAGCGGGG